CAGUCUUAUCUAGUCAGCGGUAUUNUCNAUUCAAACAAAAUGGCGGCAAGUCAUGAUGGAAUAAUUCGAGUUGGUUGCUUUGGAUGCAGGCAAAUAGCUUGCACUUCAGACUUCAUCGCGUGUCCACUCUUAAAAACAGCUGUUGGAGUUUGGUGGAUAAAAGACUUAUCGAUCCAACCGCUGCAGCUUUCUGGCCACACAAAGAUUGUGACUUGUGUGUGUUUUGGUAAUAAGGAACAAAAACAGUUGCUUUGCUCUGCCUCAGAGGAUCGUAUCCAUAUAUGGAAUGUUACCAAGGGAUUCAAAANUUACAUGUCUGGUUGCCAUGAUCAAGUGACACCUUUAUGCAUUGGAAAAGAACUUGGGUGUGUGCAGCAUGUCAGUUUUAAUUCUUCUGAUNUAUUGAUUUCUCUUUGUAUUGAGAAAGAUGUAUGGAUAUUGAAUAUUANGACAUGUAAGCUUGACUCAAUGCUAGAGGGACACUUAAGUCAGGUGUCGCAAGCUGAGUUUUGUCCAUGGAANGAGUUUAGGAUUGUUUCAAUUGGAGAAGACAGAACUUUCAAGGUUUGGGACAUACAGAAGUCUUGCUUGCUGUACCAGUCAUCGGUCAUAUCAGGUUUUCCAUUCGUAUGUCUUGCUUAUGAUGAAAUACAGAAUUGCAUAGCAAUAGGGGCAACAGAUGGAAAGGUGAGGAUCUAUGAUCUUAAGGAGGAAAAUAAUUUCCGNUGUCUGCACGAAAUGGAUAUCAACCAAAAACUUGCAAAACUGAUGUAUUCUACACAAGUAGAUGCGCUUUCUGUAUCAAAAGGGCCUGCAGUUAUCAGUAGUCUUCCAAAAUGGCAGAAAGAUCAACAUGAACCUGAGCUCUUAGAAUCAUGCAUUGAAGGUGACAUUGCUGAAGCAGGAACCAGCAUUGUUGGUUUAUUUUUCAUGAAAAUUACUGGAAAAACAGAAGACAAUCCUGGCCUCUCAAAUCUACCAUUUUUGAACACCUCACAAGUCAAUGAUAUUUUCCAUGUUCCAUCAUUACUUAUGAUUGGAAUGACUGCAUCUAUUGUCAUGGUGAACUGCAAUACAUGGGANAUUCUACAUGUCAUUGACUUUAAAGAUCCAAUUCUUUCAAGACAUGAGCUCGAUACUGUUCAGUAUACAUUGCCAAUGGCAGGAUUGUUUGCCUUUGUACAACAACAACAACAAAACUCANUGAAAGGAAUUGUGGGUAGCUUGUUUCACAACGCUAUACACGUUAUCAACAUAGAGAUUCCAACCGCUCUUGAUGAUGACGAAGAUGCAGUCAAUGCUCUUUGUAGUCGUUUAUCUCAAUCUGUUGCUGUCAACACUCACAAUGUUUGUGCAACAAAUACGGAGGAAGACAAGCGUUCACCAGGCUGUGCUGAGGCUUCCCAUUCUGUGAUAACUGUAUUAUCAAACACACCAUUAUGUGCUAAUUCUCCACUAAAAUCAGAACUUGUUCCAAAAUCAAGGCCAGCUCCUUCAAAGAAAACAUCAAAACAAGCAAAUGUCAAAGGAAAGUUGCAAGAUCAACCAUUGACAUUCAAGGCUAAAGUCCAAUCAUCAGGAUAUUCAGAUUCACCCAGAUCAAAAAUGUUUUCGCCCAAAACAAAUGCCAUCAAGAAGACCUCAGUCUCAUUAAAAACAAGCAGUUCAAGCAAUAAAACUGGUGUUGUUACAAAGGAAUACCCAAUGGAUAGUAGCCCACCAACAAUGAUGAGGGAGANAAUUGCACUCACAAGCCAACCAACAGUUGUCAAUUCCAUUAGAUACAGUAAUAAUGGAAAACACAUUGCAUGUGCAUUGGCCAAUAAGAGUGUUCAUAUAAUUCGUUUGCCCAUUUCAAGUACUGCCAAAGAAACUGUUUUGACAGGGCAUGACGGCUCAGUGACUAGUGUACAAUUUAACCAUAAUGAUAAAUGGCUGCUCUCCUCGUCUGCUGAUCGAACAGUUAAUUUAUGGAGUCCCACCUCAUCAGAUCCUAUACUUAUCUUCAAUACUGUUAAUAGUAACUUCACAGACUCUGGUGUUAAAGGAAAAGAAAAGGAAAAUCCUCCUUUCUCCAGAGAGAUCACUCAGUCGUCAUUUUACUAUAUGGACAAGUUUGUGUUGAUCAGCAGUGGUAAUGGACUGCAUAUGUACAAAUAUCACAUUGACUCACAUAAAGAUGACAUCAAAAGGUAUCAGACCAACAGUAAAUACAAACUGGUAAAAAUACUGAAUCAAGAACGAGCUCAAAGUAUUACCUGUUUCUCGUGCGUCAACAGUUUUCAUUCUUACAUAGUAUUGUGCUGUGGAUCUAAUAAAUCUAUUGAACUGUUUGAUAUGAAUGUUGGACGCAGUGUACGCGUUCUAAUGGAUGCGCAUACUAGACCAGUUCACUCAAUUUUUCAAAACCAGGGAUCUUCCUACACUUCGCAUUCGUCUGAGGCUUACGACUUGUUCUUGACGGCCGCAGUGACUGACGGAAUCAAGCUUUGGGACAUCAGAACAAACAGGUGUGUACGGCGAUAUGAAGGUCACGUGAAUAGGUCGCAUCAAACAGGGAUNUCCAUCAGUCCAUGUUCGCGGUAUAUAGCUACAGGAUCCGAGGACAGAUCAGUGUACAUCUUCGAUGUUCGUGGUUCGUCAUUCUGUCACCGUCUGACAGGCCAUACUGAUGUUGUAUCGGAUGUUGCUUUUCAUCCAGCGAGACCUGAGCUUGCAGCAGCUUCAUUGGAUGGCAAAAUGAGAUUCUACACUGAAGAGAUUCGUUAGGCGUGCAACCAACGGAUGGUAAGGCGCUGGGUCUUGAAAAUUAUGCCUGGAGGAAUUUCUAUCUAUCCGUCCUAGAAAAUGUGCUAAUUUCCAGUGGAUCAACCCACCAAUCCCUGUGGAUUUUUAAGCAGGUGGAUAUCUACCUAUGACACCUGAUGAUAAGAAGUGAGCAAUAAAGUAGCUGG
rnacentral:misc_RNA from 1 species